AAGACUGUGUUUUCAGGGAUCAUUUCUAUAGUUCAUGACUAGAGAAGUUUCUCUGACAGUGUAGAGUACCAGAAACCAUGAGGAGGAGCAUGAAGCCAGCUCUUGGUGUUGCUUUGCUGCAAUUAACACUUGCCAUUGGUGAUCAUUCUCUCCUUUGGGAGAUUAGAGGACGAGAAUGCAGUCUGAGUGGG
rnacentral:snoRNA from 1 species